CAAUAGCGUGUAUUAAAGUUGUUGCAGUUAAAAAGCUCGUAGUUGGAUUUCUGAUCGAGACAUCAGGUCGGGUCCGAGAGGAUCAUGUACUUUGAUUUUGUUUUGAUCAUCCUUGGGGAGAGCAUUUCUGGCAUUCAGUUGUCGGGAUUGGGAUCCUCAUCGUUUACUGUGAAAAAAUUAGAGUGUUCAAAGCAGGCCUCGGCCUCUGAAUACAUUAGCAUGGAAUAAUAAGAUAGGACUUUGGUGGUCUAUUUUGUUGGUUUGCACGCCAAAGUAAUGAUUAAUAGGGAUAGUUGGGGGUAUUCGUAUUCAAUUGUCAGAGGUGAAAUUCUUGGAUUUAUGGAAGACGAACUACUGCGAAAGCAUUUACCAAGGAUGUUUUCAUUAA
rnacentral:rRNA from 1 species